UACGUAGGGGGCAAGCGUUGUCCGGAAUCAUUGGGCGUAAAGAGCGUGUAGGCGGCUCGAUAAGUCCGCUGUGAAAGUCCAGGGCUCAACCCUGGAAGGCCGGUGGAAACUGUCGGGCUAGAGUCCGGAAGAGGCGAGUGGAAUUCCCGGUGUAGCGGUGAAAUGCGCAGAUAUCGGGAGGAACACCAAUGGCGAAGGCAGCUCGCUGGGUCUUAUCUGACACUGAGACGCGAAAGCGUGGGGAGCAAACGGG
rnacentral:rRNA from 1 species